GUCGCGAUGGUGUAGUUGGUUAUCACAACUGUCUAACAUUCUGUUGGUCACAGUAGGUCCUCGGUUCGAACCCGAGUUGCGACA